UGCGCAGGCGGCCAGGUGUGUGAGGCGUGAAAGCCCGAGGCUCAACCUCGGAAUUGCACCUCAAACUACAUGGCUAGAGUACUGGAGAGGGUGACGGAACUCACGGUGUAGCAGUGAAAUGCGUAGAUAUCGUGAAGAACACCAGAGGCGAAGGCGGUCACCUGGACAGUUACUGACGCUCAGGCACGAAAGCGUGGGGAGCAAAAGGGAUUAGAUACCCCUGUAGUCCACGCCCUAAACGGUGCACACUAGGUCUUGGCGGAUUCGACCCCCCCCAGGGCCCCAAGCUAACGCGUUAAGUGUGCCGCCUGAGGACUACGGCCGCAAGGCUAAA
rnacentral:rRNA from 1 species